rnacentral:lncRNA from 1 species
AAAAACAAAAUGGUAAGCAAUAUGCAACAAAUGACAUGUAUGAGCAAACCCUAGCCAAAACAGAAAUCCACACGUGCACAAUUUUCAUAAAAAUCACCAUAAAAUAGUAGACAUGGCAAGGAUCAUGGCACAAAAAAUCUUACAUCAAUUGGAUUAUUAUUUCAUGAGUUAUGAAUUUUUAAGUGUGAAGAAAAAUUAAAAAAAAGUGAAACAAGUAUGUGAACAUGUGAAGCACAAUUGGAAAUAAUGCAAAAGGCAAAUAUGAAGAAACGCUGGGAGCCAGAUG